rnacentral:lncRNA from 1 species
GGGAUCGAGUGCGGGCAUGGGCAGGACAGCCGAGUCGCCGAUCGGAUAGGAUUUUACAAGCGCUACUGUGACAUCCUCGGUGUUGGCUAUGGUGACAACCUCGACUGCUACAAUCAGAGGCCCUUCGCUUAACUAAUUAGUUAUAUUUAUAUAACCCCUCCAAACAAAAUACAAUAAGAGCAUCCUCUCUCAUCUAGAUGUUGGAAGUUGUAACUAUGGUUACAUCUCAUAAGGAACUCAAUAAAAGCAUCCAGUAUAGAUGCUUUGUAUUGAGGGCGUGUUUGGUUGAGAAGUCUUAUGACUUUUUCUAGUCCCAGGGACUAAUCAAAAAAGACUCUCUAGUAGAGUCUUUUUCUAGUCCCUGUAGAAAAAGUCCCUCCUGUUUGGUUCCUAGUGACUUUUUCUAGUCUCUGGGACUAAAAAGUCCCUGAACCAAACACCCCCUGAGUUUUACCAAAAAUAUUGGCUCUUGCUUCGAGAUGAACACUAAAUGCUUCUUAAAGAGUUCAAUCAUGGCAAACGUGAUACAUCUAGGUUUAACUAGGUAUGGUGCCUAUGUUACUUAAGGAUCAGGGGCAGAUAAGAUGAUGUCUGGAUCUGUGGAAAUGUAAAACAACUUCGUUGCGCAACACAACCAUGUUCCCCAGUUGCCGAUUCAGAAUCUGUGAUGAUUGAACCUUAGUAACAUCAAAGUCCUCCGCAGAAACGUGAGAUGGUAAACAAGAGUUUGUGCAUCGAUAAAAUAGAACAGAGAAAGAUAUGAGCGUCCUAUGUGAGUAACCAAGAAUAGUAGCAGAAUACAAGAAGUAACAGAUUAAAUUACCUGUCAAAUUGCAACUUUAAUGCAUCAAACUUUGCUCGAAAAGAUCCCAUACUGGUAGUGCACAGAAUAACCACAGUAGGAGAAGCAGCGAAGCAAAGAAAUUACGUGAAUGCAAGAGAACAGAAAGUAUUGGAUGAAAGAAAAUGACACAACAGUGGCGAUGUAGAAUAGGAAGAAGAGUUCGUCAGACAAGAGGAAGGAGAUGAACAGCAAGCAAAGAAGUAAACAUAUAAGGUCCACCCAUAGUCAAAGAAGGAAUAGGGCAAUAGUUCAUACGGCAUAUAUGUAUGAGACCGACAUGCAUAAUCAACCAUAUUUCGACGUAUUCACAACAUAUAUCAAUUACAAGUGGUUUUUCACGAUUUUUCAGUGCACACAAGUGCACGACUCACGGCGCAAAAGGACAAAAAUGCUACACGUACAGGCACAUUGUACAUGUUUUUAUAGGUUGAAGGACUGCACGCUCCUCUAAUUGCCCCCCCCCCCCCUAUUUUCACCGGUGGGCCUGUGCGUCUUAAUCAAUCCACGGCCAAUCAAUGUUAAGCAACCUGUAAAACCCCCGUAUAAGUCCGUACGUCUACCAAAGUUGGCAAAAGGACGCACGUGUGUGCCCUCGCACUUGGACCCAAAUGCGGGUGCGGUUCUCUGUCCAUUUGUUUCAAUGGAUAAAGAGUCAAUUACACCGGUGGUGCUUGAACUUGGCGCAAACGGUCACUUUGGUGCUAGAACUUGCGGCAUACAUCGAACUGGUGUAACAAGUUGGCUCGGGCGUGCAAAUACGAUGCAAACCUUGGCUGUGUACGCCCGAGCCGCUGAUUAGGCGCGCCAACAUAGGAUGGGUCCCGCCGUCAGUGACCCGAAGGCAGACAGGAGGGCGUGUGGCCAUUUUUUGCGUAAACCCUCUUGAAUUAUUAUUUUCCCACAAAAAGGCACUGUCGACGUUGGAAGAUGGCAUUUCAUUUUUUUCGACUCUAUAGCCAGUGGGCCCUGUGUGUACAUACUGAGAAUUAUUACCAAGAAAAAACGGAGGCCUCCACGUCUCGAACGUGCGACCCUUGCCCAUGUCACAGUCUGGCUGCUACACCAUUUAGUCUUCACAACUUCAGAUAAAUUUUUGUAUUCAUCAAUUUGAAUAUUAAAUAUAAGCAGCACAUGUGUAUUUUUCUAUUAAAUAAACAUUUUAAAUGUCCAUAUUUAAUUAACAAUUUUAUAUAAUAGAUGUGUGUAUGUUUAAAUAUUUUUGUCUACUAAUCAUUGUUUGUAUGUCUAACAUUUAUAAAAAAUAAAUAUUUGAACAUUAUUUUAAUUACUUACAUUUCACAAAUAUUUCAAAAAGAAUUAGCGCGUGCAAAUGGGUUGCACUAUCUGCAGCCAAUUUAAGCCCCACAUGUAUCUUCCUUAUACUACAUUAACAGUUGUUAUCCUUGUUAGACAUCAGAAUGUAAUUGAUGCAGUGGCUAUGAGCACGAGCGCCCUAACAGUAGGUCGUCGUGUUGAAUUCUAAAAAAAAGGUCACGUGUUGGAGUGUAGGAGUCUAACAUAUUCCCUUUUAAUUCCAGCAAAAAAAACAUUUUCCCUUUUAAUUUUCACGUCGGGACUCACCUGUCAUAGAACAAACAAAAUAAAAUACCAUCUACCACGUGGAUAGGGUCUUUUUUGUGAGAAAUAAAAAAUGUCGAGGUUUUUCUGCAAAAGGAAAAAAACAGGUCACGCACUUCUAGUCUUUGACAAAGGGCCCCACGCCACGCUGGCGGCCAAGUCAGCGUUGAUUUCGUAUCCAAGUGCGGUUAGCACUAUAUUUGCACACCCGAGUCAAGUUAUUGCACCAGUUUAAUGUAUGCCACAAGUUCUAGCAUCAAAGUGACCGUUUACGCCAAGUUCAAGCACCACCAGUGUAAUUGACUCAUGGAUAAAUGAUAAACUCUGGAAAGGGAAAAUAGGAAUUGCGUUCCAUGGACGUCCGUCCAUGAAUGCAUUGCGUCGUCUAUGGACUAAAAUUCCACAUGCGUGCAUACUAGCACACGCUCUGGAUCAUACAUGGCCAGCUGCUCACCGCUGUACCUCUCGACCGUAUCUAAGCUGCCAAAAUUGAUCCGUCGAUGGCAUGACGAUGUCGCCCUGGAAGAAAGCUCACGAGGAGGUAGAUGGAUAGACACAGGGUCGAUCAUGGCGAUCGAGUAGCGCGCGACACCGAUAUAAAGACGUGCACUCCCCAGCGCUUCUCCCACAACACUACACCUGCACCAGAUAGCGGUCAAGUACUCUGCUUCGUUGCCACGCACGAUGAGAUCGCUUGCGGUGGUGGCCGUGGUGGUAGCCACGGUGGCCAUGGCCAUCGGCGCCGCGCGCGGCAGCGUGUCCUCCGUCGUCUCCCGCGCACAGUUUGACCGCAUGCUACUGCACCGCAACGACGGCGCCUGCCAGGCCAAGGGCUUCUACACCUACGACGCCUUCGUCGCCGCCGCAGCUGCCUUCCCGGGCUUCGGCACCACCGGCAGCGCCGACGCCCAGAAGCGCGAGGUGGCCGCCUUCCUGGCACAGACCUCCCACGAGACCACCGGCGGGUGGGCGACCGCACCGGACGGGGCCUUCGCCUGGGGCUACUGCUUCAAGCAGGAACGUGGAGCCGCCUCCGACUACUGCACCCCGAGCGCCCAGUGGCCGUGCGCCCCAGGGAAGCGAUACUACGGCCGCGGGCCCAUCCAGCUCUCCCACAACUACAACUACGGGCCUGCUGGCCGGGCCAUCGGGGUCGAUCUGCUGAGCAACCCGGACCUGGUGGCAACCGACCCCACAGUGUCGUUUAAGACGGCGAUGUGGUUCUGGAUGACGGCUCAGGCGCCAAAGCCGUCGAGCCAUGCUGUGAUCACGGGCCAGUGGAGCCCCUCAGGGGCAGACCGGGCCGCAGGGCGGGUGCCCGGGUUUGGUGUGAUCACCAACAUCAUCAACGGUGGGAUCGAGUGCGGGCACGGGCAAGACAGCCGCGUCGCUGAUCGGAUCGGGUUUUACAAGCGCUACUGCGACAUCCUCGGCGUUGGCUACGGCGACAACCUCGACUGCUACAACCAGAGGCCCUUUGCUUAAUUAAUUAGUUAUGUAUAAUCUUGGCCCUGGGCAAAAUACAAUAAGAGGGUCAUCUCCUAUCUACAUGUUGUAAGAUGUAACUAUGGUUACCUUUUAUGCGGAACAUAACAAAGGCAUCUCGUAUGGAUGCUUUGGUACGGAAUCUUACCAACAAUAUUGGCUCUUGGUAUGAAAUGAACACUAUACGCCUUUUAACGAGUUCAACAAUGGCAAUAGAGAUGCCUCAACAUUUAAGUAGGUACUAGGAAAUAUGCCCGUGCGCUUGCGAUGGGAGAAAAAUAAUCAGAUUAUGCAGAUGUGGUAGAGAUAAAAAAAAGUCCGAAUCAAAUGUCAGGAUGAGAUAAGGACUUUUAAAAUAUCAUUUCAAAAACUAUGCCUGGAUGUCAUGAUGAGAUAAGGCACUUUUAAAGUCAUUUUAAAAAUUAAAAUGUGAUGGCCUCAUAAUGACUUGAUUUCCUAAGGCACCACAAUGAAAUACUUUUUGGCUGAGCAAACUACAUUGACGGACCAUGCCUGAGCUAUACUGAUGAAUGAUGUGUCUCGUCUUGGCCUAGCGUACUGGUGUUUUUCAUAACGAGUAAAACUAUCGUACCAAAAUAAACAUAGUUGUGUAUGGAGGCAAAUUAACAUUUAGUCAUUUUUAUAUAGUUUACCAAAACGAACCCAUAUAAAGUUGUGUGAAUUUUUUGGGCUCAGCGCUGCUCAGAAAAAGGAAACCUUUUACUUACUCUGAAGCAUGAGACUAAAUAAAAUCGUAAAAACGACCUCUACAGAGCCCCUAAUAAAACCUCUACAUAAGUGACGGUUUGUUUUUUUCGUUAUUUACGGAACUGUUUCAAUUUUUUUAAAUUUCAUAGACAUUUUUUCAGAUUACUGAACAUCUUUUGAAUACCAUAAUUUCUAAAAAAUCAUGAACAUUUUUAGUUUCACAAACAUUUUAGUUAUGUAUAAUUUUGGCCCUGCACAAAAUACAAUAAGAGCAUCAUCUCCUAUCUACAUGUUGUAAGAUGUAACUAUGGUUACCUUUUAUGCGGAACAGAACAAAGGCAUCUUGUAUGGAUGCUUUGGUAC